rnacentral:rRNA from 1 species
AGUGAACGCUGGCGGUAGGCCUAACACAUGCAAGUCGAACGGCAGCACAGUAAGAGCUUGCUCUUACGGGUGGCGAGUGGCGGACGGGUGAGGAAUACAUCGGAAUCUACUUUUUCGUGGGGGAUAACGUAGGGAAACUUACGCUAAUACCGCAUACGACCUACGGGUGAAAGCAGGGGAUCUUCGGACCUUGCGCGAUUGAAUGAGCCGAUGUCGGAUUAGCUAGUUGGCGGGGUAAAGGCCCACCAAGGCGACGAUCCGUAGCUGGUCUGAGAGGAUGAUCAGCAACACUGGAACUGAGAAACGGUCCAGACACCUAAGGGAGGCAGAAGUGGGGAAUAUGGGACAAUGGGCGCAAGCCUGAUCCAGCCAUACCGCGUGGGUGAAGAAGGCCUGCGGGUUGUAAAGCCCUUUUGUUGGGAAAGAAAAGCAGCAGGUUAAGACCCCGCUGUUCGGACGGGACCCAAAGAAUAAGCACCGGCUAACUUCGU